AGCUCCUUAUGGAGCGAAGUCUUUGAUUCCCCGCUGCCAAGAAAAGCUUCUAGCGAGAUAAAAGGUGCCUGUACCGCAAACCGACACAGGUAGGCGAGGAGAGAAUCCUAAGGUGUGCGAGAGAACUCUGGUUAAGGAACUCGGCAAAAUGACCCCGUAACUUCGGGAGAAGGGGUGCUUUCUUAACGGAAAGCCGCAGUGAAUAGGCCCAAGCGACUGUUUAGCAAAAACACAGCUCUCUGCGAAGCCGUAAGGCGAAGUAUAGGGGGUGACACCUGCCCGGUGCUGGAAGGUUAAGGAGAGGGGUUAGCGUAAGCGAAGCUCUGAACUGAAGCCCCAGUAAACGGCGGCCGUAACUAUAACGGUCCUAAGGUAGCGAAAUUCCUUGUCGGGUAAGUUCCGACCCGCACGAAAGGUGUAACGAUUUGGGCACUGUCUCAACCAGAGACUCGGUGAAAUUAUAGUACCUGUGAAGAUGCAGGUUACCCGCGACAGGACGGAAAGACCCCGUGGAGCUUUACUGUAGCCUGAUAUUGAAUUUUGGUACAGUUUGUACAGGAUAGGCGGGAGCCAUUGAAACCGGAGCGCUAGCUUCGGUGGAGGCGCUGGUGGGAUACCGCCCUGACUGUAUUGAAAUUCUAACCUACGGGUCUUAUCGACCCGGGAGACAGUGUCAGGUGGGCAGUUUGACUGGGGCGGUCGCCUCCUAAAGUGUAACGGAGGCGCCCAAAGGUUCCCUCAGAAUGGUUGGAAAUCAUUCGUAGAGUGCAAAGGCAUAAGGGAGCUUGACUGCGAGACCUACAAGUCGAGCAGGGACGAAAGUCGGGCUUAGUGAUCCGGUGGUUCCGCAUGGAAGGGCCAUCGCUCAACGGAUAAAAGCUACCCCGGGGAUAACAGGCUUAUCUCCCCCAAGAGUCCACAUCGACGGGGAGGUUUGGCACCUCGAUGUCGGCUCAUCGCAUCCUGGGGCUGUAGUCGGUCCCAAGGGUUGGGCUGUUCGCCCAUUAAAGCGGUACGCGAGCUGGGUUCAGAACGUCGUGAGACAGUUCGGUCCCUAUCCGUCGUGGGCGUAGGAAAUUUGAGAGGAGCUGUCCUUAGUACGAGAGGACCGGGAUGGACGCACCGCUGGUGUACCAGUUGUUCUGCCAAGGGCAUAGCUGGGUAGCUAUGUGCGGAAGGGAUAAGUGCUGAAAGCAUCUAAGCAUGAAGCCCCCCUCAAGAUGAGAUUUCCCAUAGCGUAAGCUAGUAAGAUCCCUGAAAGAUGAUCAGGUUGAUAGGUUCGAGGUGGAAGCAUGGUGACAUGUGGAGCUGACGAAUACUAAUAGAUCGAGGACUUAACCAU
rnacentral:rRNA from 2 species